GCCCGCUUGGCUCAGUGGUAGAGCGUGUCACUCGUAUCUUGGGGGCCUUACCAGCACCCGCAUGAUAUGACAUGACAAGGUCAUCAGUUCAAUUCUGAUAGUGGGCA